rnacentral:rRNA from 1 species
GGGGCAACCCUGAUCCAGCAAUGCCGCGUGUGUGAAGAAGGUUUUCGGAUUGUAAAGCACUUUCGACGGGGACGAUGAUGACGGUACCCGUAGAAGAAGCCCCGGCUAACUUCGUGCCAGCAGCCGCGGUAAUACGAAGGGGGCUAGCGUUGCUCGGAAUGACUGGGCGUAAAGGGCGUGUAGGCGGUUUUGACAGUCAGAUGUGAAAUCCCCGGGCUUAACCUGGGAGCUGCAUUUGAGACGUUAAGACUAGAGUGUGAGAGAGGGUUGUGGAAUUCCCAGUGUAGAGGUGAAAUUCGUAGAUAUUGGGAAGAACACCGGUGGCGAAGGCGGCAACCUGGCUCAUUACUGACGCUGAGGCGCGAAAGCGUGGGGAGCAAACAGGAUUAGAUACCCUGGUAGUCCACGCUGUAAACGAUGUGUGCUAAAUGUUGGGUAACUUAGUUACUCAGUGUCGCAGUUAACGCGUUAAGCACACCGCCUGGGGAGUACGGCCGCAAGGUUG